rnacentral:rRNA from 1 species
UACAGAGGGGGCAAGCGUUGUUCGGAAUUACUGGGCGUAAAGGGCGCGUAGGCGGCCUGUUAAGUCGAACGUGAAAUCCCCGGGCUCAACCCGGGAACUGCGUCCGAUACUGGCAGGCUUGAAUCCGGGAGAGGGAUGCGGAAUUCCAGGUGUAGCGGUGAAAUGCGUAGAUAUCUGGAGGAACACCGGUGGCGAAGGCGGGUCUCUGGGCCGAUACUGACGCUGAGGAGCGAAAGCGUGGGGAGCAAACAGG